UUCCUACGGGAGGCAGCAGUGGGGAAUAUUGCACAAUGGGCGAAAGCCUGAUGCAGCAACGCCGCGUGAGCGAUGAAGGCCUUCGGGUCGUAAAGCUCUGUCCUCAAGGAAGAUAAUGACGGUACUUGAGGAGGAAGCCCCGGCUAACUACGUG
rnacentral:rRNA from 1 species